rnacentral:rRNA from 1 species
GAUGAACGCUGGCGGCGUGCCUAAUACAUGCAAGUCGAGCGAACAGACGAGGAGCUUGCUCCUCUGACGUUAGCGGCGGACGGGUGAGUAACACGUGGAUAACCUACCUAUAAGACUGGGAUAACUUCGGGAAACCGGAGCUAAUACCGGAUAAUAUAUUGAACCGCCUGGUUCAAUAGUGAAAGACGGUUUUGCUGUCACUUAUAGAUGGAUCCGCGCCGCAUUAGCUAGUUGGUAAGGUAACGGCUUACCAAGGCGACGAUGCGUAGCCGACCUGAGAGGGUGAUCGGCCACACUGGAACUGAGACACGGUCCAGACUCCUACGGGAGGCAGCAGUAGGGAAUCUUCCGCAAUGGGCGAAAGCCUGACGGAGCAACGCCGCGUGAGUGAUGAAGGUCUUCGGAUCGUAAAACUCUGUUAUUAGGGAAGAACAAAUGUGUAAGUAACUAUGCACGUCUUGACGGUACCUAAUCAGAAAGCCACGGCUAACUACGUG